CGUGCGCGAAGCGCGCGGGCGCUUCCAACCUGGCUGAGACCGGCCCCGAG
rnacentral:sRNA from 1 species